rnacentral:rRNA from 1 species
GACGAACGCUGGCGGCGUGCUUAACACAUGCAAGUCGAACGGCAGCACAGUAAGAGCUUGCUCUUAUGGGUGGCGAGUGGCGGACGGGUGAGGAAUACAUCGGAAUCUACUCUUUCGUGGGGGAUAACGUAGGGAAACUUACGCUAAUACCGCAUACGACCUACGGGUGAAAGCGGAGGACCUUCGGGCUUCGCGCGAUUGAAUGAGCCGAUGUCGGAUUAGCUAGUUGGCGGGGUAAAGGCCCACCAAGGCGACGAUCCGUAGCUGGUCUGAGAGGAUGAUCAGCCACACUGGAACUGAGACACGGUCCAGACUCCUACGGGAGGCAGCAGUGGGGAAUAUUGGACAAUGGGCGCAAGCCUGAUCCAGCCAUGCCGCGUGGGUGAAG